rfam:Escherichia vulneris NBRC 102420 DNA, contig: EV10242010.
AGAUAAAAAAAGACCGAAUACGAUUCCUGUAUUCGGUCCAGGGAAAUGGCUCUUGGGAGAGAGCCGUGCGCUAAAAGUUGGCAUUAAUGCAGGCUAACUACGCCUGGCACUUUAAGAAUAGAUGACAGCGCCAGCUUUUCCAGUCC